AAAAAGGGCUUCUGCAAUUUGACCACAUGGCGGUUGGGGAUUCACAACGCUUCUUGCUUAAUCAAUAUCAGGAGUUUUCGGAAGCGUAAUUGUUACUAUCUGUGGCAGUGAAUGGUCGUGAAUCUUUGGGCCAAC